AUAUAAACGCAGACAUGUUUUUAGUAUAGAAAGCGUUAAAUGUAAUUAACUACAAACUAGUACAUUUUACUUUCUUAAUUAGUACGAAAUAAAAUGUAAAUCCAAACGUCUUGUAAUAUAAUAAAGAUGCAUUAAUGUCUCUUUUUAUCAUGUGCAUGCCACGACACACCAGAAACAUUAAGGGGAGAAAACCUCUUUAAAAUCUGGAAAAAUGGUCGGGAAAUUUCCCGUAACUUCUCGAUUACUCGUCACGUGACUGACUUAACUUUAUAUAACGUAGCUCUAUACACCAAGUUCAUAACGCAGUGGAUAUACGACGAAGAUAUAAACUGUUUUUAAUCAACUACUACUUGAACAGAAGUCAAGAUUAUCUUAUUUGUUAAAUACACGUGCUUUUUAAAAAGUUGUUUUAGUAAGAACCAUGGAGGAAACUAGUUUUAAAUCAAGUAAUUCUAGCGGCUUUCCAAGUGGGGACUAUACCAGUAGUUUACAUGACCUACCAUUACUAUCUGCUGGAAAAUAUGAUGAUAUAGAAGAAGAUUCAGCGCCAAUAGUGACACUUAAUACUCGCCUACAAGAUUGGAUGAUGGGCGACGAAAGCACGGAUGAAGAGCCAGAAGACUAUGCCCCCGACCCACGGGAAUAUUAUUCUCAUUUCUACCGUGAGAGCGAGAGACUCACAACAUUCCAUGACUGGCCACAUUGGGCAAAUGUAACAAAGGAAGAAUUGGCCAAAAAUGGGUUUUUGUAACUACAUGUAUCUGAUCGCGUGCAAUGUGUGUUCUGUAGAGCUAGUUUAGGUAGCUUUAAACAAGGUGAUGUUAUUGCAAAUGAGCACAGGAAAUAUUGCCCAGAAUGUCCUCUUGCGUUUGGAUAUGAAUGUGGAAAUAUACCCAUUUCGUCGGGCACGAGAGUUUCACAGGCAACACCAGAACAUGCAUUGAAUAGAACAAACCUUUUAAGAACGACUGCAGCUAGAAAUUUUGCUAAUUCUUCGCUUAGGUCAGGCCUGUUUCAAACAACUUCAACUCUAAAUUUAGCUGUUACUGCUGUAUUCGUCACACAAUCACAAAGUGCAGCAACUCUGUCUUCAAUUCAUUCAAAUCAAGAAGAAGCAUCCGCUAUCUCCGAGCCAAAGUACCGUGACUGGGCAGACGAACACAUAAGGUUAUUGUCAUACAGGGGAUGGCCUGCACAAAUGAAGCAAACUCCGAGAGACUUGGCAGCUGCUGGCUUGUUGUAUAUGGGUCAAGCUGAUCGGUGUAAGUGCUACUGGUGCGGAGGGGAACUUCAUGGCUGGGAACCAAACGACAUACCAUUGAUAGAGCAUGAAAAAUGGUUUCCACAAUGCGGGUUUGUAAGGCAGCAG